rnacentral:lncRNA from 1 species
CUCAAAUUUACGAUCCUCAUGCCUCAGCCUCCCAAGCCCCUGGGAUUACAGGAAUGCCCACCACGCCUGGCCUGACCUUUUAUUUUGCAUAUUGUUAUUAUUCUGUGCACAAGGAGGCUUCAAUCCAGGCCCCAUCUGGGCCACCCCUGACCACAUCUGGGCCAGUUUGUUUGUUACAUUGUGUCAUUGUUGUGACCCUUUUUCCCUGCCGUUCUUUUUUGUGGCACCCAGGACUGAACCUGGGGGUACUUUACCACUGAGCCACUCUCCCAGUCCUUUUUAUAUUUUUAUUUUUAAAUUUUGAGACAGGAUCUUACUAAGUUGCUGAGGCUGGGCUCCAACUUGUGAUCCUCUUGCCUCAGCCUCCUGGUUGCUGGGAUUUCAGGAGUGUGCCACCGUGCCCCGCUCAACAUUCAUUUUGAAACCUGAUUUCACACAGUGUUUCAUUUUUUUUCCCCAUAAAGAGGCCCCCAGAAUGCUGUGCCUGGUCCCCGCUGUGCUCUGAGGUGGCCAUGCUGGCCAUGUUCAGGUGGGAUGUCCCCCACCCUCGGGGUCAUGCCCGUCCUCUUUCCAUCUGUUAAAGGCCACAGAAGGAUUUGCUUUGUCUCAGUGCCGUGGGGCGUGUUUAGUGGGUGGGGGAGCUGGGAACCAGGCGUGGUCAGCCUCGCCCUCCGUGCCCUGCCAGGCUGCAGGACUCAUUUUCCACCUGUCAGAGACGCUGACUCAGAAGCACCGUGCAUUCCAGUUGUCUGCCUGUGGGUGUCUUCCUGUGUCUCAGUUUCCUCACUUAUGAAGGUGGAACGAUUCUGAGGCCCCGGGCUCUGUAAAACCUGGGUGGCACGGGGCACGGUGGUGCACACCUGCAAUCCCUGUGGCUCAGGAGGCCGAGGCAGGAGGACUGCAAGUUAGAAGCCAGCCUCAGCAACUCAGCGAGGCCCUAAGCAACUUAGCGAGACCCCAUCUCAAAACAGAAAAUAAAAAGGACUGGGGAUGUGGCUCAGUGGUUAAGGGCCCCGGGUUCAAUCCCUAGCACCAUAAACAAACAAACAAACAAACAAACAAACAAAACCCUUGAUGGUGAAGUAGGGUGUCAGAUGGGCGCCUCGCCACUAGCAGAUUGCCUUCCUGCUGGCCCUGAGCAAAGGGGAGGUCAGGGGUCGGUGUGUCCUCUGUGUCCAGUCACCUCCUCACUCAUCUUCCCUCUGGAGGCACCUGUCCCUCUGACCCGUCCCUGCAGCCCGGGGGCUUCUGUGGUCACUGGCGGAAGACCCCACGUUCCUCACUGGACUUUCAGGCCCCUACGACCUGCCCUCCAGGCCCUGCUGCCCAGGGCUCUGCUGGGAGAGGCCAGGAAAAGCCUGGAGGCCUGGCUGCCUCCACCUGGACGGGCUGCUUCCUCUCUAAGAGAGGAGGGGAGGCUGGGCAGGGCCACCCCCAAACACACUGCCCCAACCGUGGACCUGAGCAGCUCCCCUGAGGGCUCUGGCGGAGGACCACUGACUCCCCAAGACCGGCCGAGGAGCAGGGGAGGUGGGGGGCCCUGGCUGCUUCUGCGUCCGUCAGGACAGAGUCGGGGGUGGCACUGGGACUGUCUGACAGGCACAUGCUCCUUAACCGCCAGGGACCUCAGUUUGUCUGCAGGAUGUGACUCGCCCUGGCUCCUUGGGAUGACUGCAGGCCGCAGCCUCUGCCCUGAGCUCCCGCGGACCUCCCUGGGUGUCUCCAGCACCUGAGGCCCUGCACCCCACCCUGCAUCGCCUGGAGGCACCUGAGCUCCCCGCUCCCCCCUCAGCCAAGCCCUCAAUUCAGGCCGCACGGCCCCUGUCCAGCUUGCUCUCGGCCCUGGGCACCGAACCCUCCGCCCCUGACUGUCACAGUCCAGUGGGAGAAGCGGGGCGGGUGGGGUUCGGAGGUGGAGAGGCGGCGGCUGGACUUUGCAGAAGCCCAUUCAAGGGCAGCUGUCCCCACAGGAACACAGAUUGGGCUCGCAUGGCCAGGAAGUGAUGGCCCUUGCCCCGCGGGCCGUGCGUGGCCUCUGAACCUGCCGUGGGGGCAGGCCUGAGGGUCCCGCUGCUCUCUAGCACCCUCGCCUGCCCUGAGCACACAGGCAGGGCGCAGCCGACCCCAGGAGGACAGGGUGGCCCUGGGGCGGGUGUGCCUGGGGCAGGGCAGGGGGGCCCAGAGCCAGGAGCCAGCCCCAGGUCCAGGACGCAGGCAGGUCCUGGUCAGGCUGGACGCUCACUCCCUGGUCAGCACACAGCCUGCGUGACCUGGGCCGCCUCAGUGGGGGGCAUGGACCAGGCAGAGGGGGCAGAGGAGAGACGUCCGUCCAGCGUCUGUCGGGCCCUCUGUGGGAGCGCCUGUCUCAUGGGCUGGGAACUAGGAACAGGGAGCCGAUGGGCAGCGGAGCCCACGGGCUGCGCGAGUCCCUCAGGACGCCUGGCCGCAGUGGGAGGAGAGCCACCCUCUGUGGGCAGCCCCAGCGCCAUGGUCCUCCGUGUCUGCCCCUGGGUCAUGGUCACUCCAGCCGCCGGGGCAGCUCAAGCCGAGUCAGGGUGCCCAAGCCCGUCUGGCCCUGCUGCCAUGUGCGAGGCUGUCCCUCCUCCACUCACCAGAGCCACCUGUUCCUCAUGCUGCUGGACGUCCAC